rnacentral:rRNA from 1 species
UACGUAGGGUGCGAGCGUUAAUCGGAAUUACUGGGCGUAAAGCGUGCGCAGGCGGUUCGUUAAGUUCGUUGUGAAAGCCCCGGGCUCAACCUGGGAACUGCAAUGGAAACUGGCGGGCUUGAGUGUGGCAGAGGGGGUGGAGUCGAUCGCGUAGCAGUGAAAUGCGUAGAGAUGCGGAGGAACACCGAUGGCGAAGGCAGCCCCUCGGCGGCACACUGACGCUCAGCGCAGAAAGCGUGGGGAGCAAACA